CGACGGGAAGUUUAAUAUUCAUGUACACAGCAAGAAUCACCUUCUCACUUAAUCGUUGCAUUGUUUGAUGCAACACAGUUAAUCAACAUGUAAUUAAAUAACUAUUUCACACUUUCAUUAAUUAUUCAGAAUGGUUAACUGAAGAUAUUGAAAUGUGUGAAAAAUCACAGAAUCGAGAGAAUCUGGCCAGAAAUUAACAACCGAGUUAACUACCCAUUGAAAGCUGCAUUGGUCGAACUGGUGGAUCAGGAGGAGCUGGACAUGGAGGACCAGAUGACUCGGUUCUGUGUGUCAUCUUUGACAUGCCAGUUGGCCCAGAUCGGUGUUAACCGAACUGUGCAAGCAUGGAAUGCACACAGGAUUCCUGGGAGGGGGAUACCAAAUUACUUGGCCAGAGAUGGAUGCCCAAAUAAGCUGUCGACAGACCUUUUACCAAAUGCAUCUGUGGCUGCAGACUGGUACGACCAGGAAGUGGGCUCACUGACAGAGUGUCAGACUUUGGCACCAACCCGUUUCCAAGUUUACAGGACCAGGAAGCUGCAGUGAGGGAAUUUGCUCUGCAGUGCCCUGAUACAAGUGUCCUGCUGGACAAUGCAGUGAAUAAUCUGCCACAACCGUUCAAAGAUGGACUCAAAGGCCUCAUCGACAUCUCAAGGAGAAAUUGCCAACGCUGAUGUUUUUUUGUGUGUCUAAGUUGUUAUUGUCUGUGCUUUUUAAUUGGUUCAACUGACGGAAUGUUUUUUUCUUUUCUUCAAAUGUUGGGGGU